rnacentral:rRNA from 1 species
UACGAAGGGGGCUAGCGUUGUUCGGAAUUACUGGGCGUAAAGCGCACGUAGGCGGAUUUGUAAGUCAGGGGUGAAAUCCCGGGGCUCAACCUCGGAACUGCCUUUGAUACUGCAAGUCUCGAGUCCGGAAGGGGUGAGUGGAAUUCCUAGUGUAGAGGUGAAAUUCGUAGAUAUUAGGAAGAACACCAGUGGCGAAGGCGGCUCACUGGUCCGGUACUGACGCUGAGGUGCGAAAGCGUGGGGAGCAAACAGG